GCCUGAAGGUGGCUCAGCUGGUUGGAGCGUGGUGCUGAUAAUGCCAAGGUUGCAGGUUCGAUCCCCGUAUGGGACA
rnacentral:tRNA from 1 species